UACGUAGGGGGCUAGCGUUGUCCGGAAUCAUUGGGCGUAAAGCGCGUGUAGGCGGUCCGGUAAGUCCGCUGUGAAAGUCGGGCGCUCAACCCUCGGAUGCCGGUGGAUACUGUCGGGCUUGAGUACGGAAGAGGCGAGUGGAAUUCCUGGUGUAGCGGUGAAAUGCGCAGAUAUCAAGAGGAACACUUGAGGUGAAGACGGGUUGCUGGGCUGACACUGACGCUGAGGCGCGAAAGCCAGGGGAGCAAACGGG
rnacentral:rRNA from 1 species